CUUCAUCUUCUUCAACCCAUAUUUUCCAGAAAACCCAACAACUACAAUCUUCAACCUAUGUUCAUCAAUCCUCUUCAACCCAUACAAACCCAACACUUUAAAGUCUAAAUUUCAAACUUGAUAUUUUUUUUUCUCUUCUCUCCCCAACUCAAACCCAUUUUCCUCCUCACUUCUUUUCUUUUAGCAAAUCAUUACUCUUUUCAUAUUGGUCUGCGCCAUGUGAGUACAACUAAAGCUAAGGUAAAGAAACAAGGAAAAGAAAAUUGUUUGGAAGCAAACACUAAGUGGGCACGAAUAAAUAAGCACAAAGGGGUGUCACCAUGGAUAUUACAUAAAAAGAAAACAAACAAAAGAAGAAAAAGAAACAGAGCACAAAGAAGAGAAGCGAAACAGAGUCGCAAUGCAGCAGGGAGAAACAGAAACAAAAGGAGCCAGGUACACAACAGAGGGCCACGAAUCACAUCCUUCACCAUCGGCCUUCCAGAAAUUCUGCGGUAUAAUUACACCCUUCCAACCAGAAUUUCUUCUACAGAAUCAACAAAGAGUACCUUUUACUCAUGUGAAACACCCAAAUCAACAAAGCCACACACAUUAAAGAGUAGUAGCAUGAAUUGAAAGGGACAACGACAGCGCUGUAAGACCCGAAGCUAGAACCAACGUAGGAAACCGGGAGGAUGAGCGGCAGACAUGGAUCUGGUAGCAGUGACGAAAACUGAGAGGGUUGCGGCGCCGGGAGCAGAGUGCGCGAGCAGCGACACCGGAACUUUCUGGGUAUGAUUUCUGGAUCUGAGUUUUAGAUCUGGGUCUUCUUGGUUUCAUUGUAGAUCUAGGGUUACAGUGACUAAAAGAAAAAGGAGAACGGGAAGAGAGGGAGCAGACUGAUGGUGACCUUUGGCUCCGUUCACUCAUCUCAUAGCCAUGGAUGCUCAGCAUGCUUUGCUUAACGGAGGAAAAGAAAAAGGGUUUCAAGGAAGUCUCCUGAGUCCUGAGACACGACAAGGUUUGAAGAUGAUGUUGAUAAGGAUGAUCAGUUUUGUUUUUAGUUUUUUAAAUAAUUAAUAAUCUGAUUAAUAAAAAAAUUAAGAUAAAAAUAAUUAAAUGGAAAAAGAAAAAAAAUCCAACAAGGUUCAUUAAUUGACGUGGCAAGGCCACAUUAGCCGUCGGAGCUCCGGCGUUGACUCAAACGGCCGGAGGGACCAAAACCAGCUAUUUUGCAAAAAAACUGAGGACCAAUCCCCACCUUUACUUCGGUGAGGGACUAAAGCCAUAUUUAUGACAAAGGUUGGGGACCAAAAACUGGAUUAAGCCUUCUUUUGCUAAGCAUUGCAUGCCACUGAUAGGGUUGGAUGGAUGCUUUCUCAAGGGAGUUUAUGGAGGAGUUGAUGGCAAAUAUUGAAACAACCAAAUGUUUCCUAUUGCCUAUGUUGUUGUAGAAGCUGAGACCAUAGAUUCCUGGGCUUGGAUUCUAGAACUCCUACUCAGUGAUCUCAAUCAAGUGCAGAAGAGAAGGUGGUCCUUCAUAUCUGAUCAACAGAAGGGGCUGAUACCUACUCUAGCUAGUUUAGAUGAAAACUUGGAGAAUAGGUUAUGUAUGAAGCACUUGUAUGCCAACUUUAGAAAGAAAUUCCCAUGAGAGUUACUGAAGAAUGCUAUCUAGAAGGCAUCUAGAGCUAGCACUGUCCCUAAAUGGAAGACCGCAAUGGACCAGAUGAAAGCCUUAAAUGAAGCUGCUUAUGAAGAAAUGAUGAGGCUUCCUUCAAAAUUCAGGUCCAGAUCAGCCUAUAGCCCUCACACCAAGUGUGAUUUACAAGUAAACAAUAUGUGUGAGGCUUUUAAUAGGGGAUAUUCUGGACCAUAGGGACAAGCCAAUAAUUUCUCUCCUUCAAGGAUUGAAAUUCUACAUGACAAAUAGAAUAGUCAAGCAGAGAGACUUAAUGCAAAGGUGGAGGCCAAGCCAGUUGUGUCAUGUGAUCCAGUAAAAACUAGAGAUAGUGAAAAAACAUUCUGAUUGGUGAAAAGUUAACUGGAAUGGGGAUGAUGAUUAUUCACUUUUUGAAGUCAGUAGGGAUAUUGACAAGUAUAGGGUGAAUCUGAAGGAAAAAGCAUGUGCUUGUAGGAGGAGGCAUACAUUCUUACAAAGUUAUGCUAACUCUUGCCCAACAGUGGAGCCAAGUUGUGGCUAGAGGUGCAAACACUACCACUAAAUCCACGUUUUGUUAGGAUGACCCCUGACUGACCAAAGAAGCAGAGAGUUAAGACAAAUGAUGAACCUAAAGACCCAAAUAAGUUGAGAAGGCAUCAUAACACUGUUAAGUGCAAGAGGUGUGGAGAGUAUGGAUACAACAACAGAACUUGCAAGGGUAAGACAACAGCUGACAUGACCAUUCCUACAGGGGGAAAUCAGGAAAAUACAUAUGAGUUGCAACCAGAGCAGAGGGCACAAACUGCUAGAAAUGAUGCUGGAACUUGAACUCAGGCUACUACAAGAUCAAAAAAGCCUGCUGUGAGAGGGAAGAAGACUAAUGCAAGUGAAAGUUCAAAACAAGUUGUUGUACGAGCAGAGAAGGCAACGCAAGCUACUGGAACUACAAAGAAGGGAAAAGCUACUGCAAGUUCCAAGCAAGCAGCUGAAGGAAGAAAAAGAUCUCAGAAUCCACUUGUUGGUUCUCAGCCAGCACCUACUGGAUCUCACCCUGCACCUAGGAGGGGGAGAAAAAGUAAAAUUCAAGAUAUUAGUGCAACUCAGUAGUUUGAGGAUUUUGAUGUUAUGUUUAGGGAUGAACUAUUUAGGCUAAGUAUUUAUGAUGUUUGGUGUACUUUAAGAUGUUGAACAAGUAUUUAUGUGGUUGCAAGUUUAGGUUUUUGAGUUAUGCUAUGAACAACUAAUGCCAAUUUAGGCUUCUUUUGGAUGCAUUCAAGUACUGAUGCUAAUUUAG